GAGUUUGAUCCUGGCUCAGAUUGAACGCUGGCGGCAUGCUUUACACAUGCAAGUCGAGCGGCAGCGCGGGACUCGGGCAACUGAGCCCUGGCGGCGAGCGGCGGACGGAUGAGUAAUACAUCGGAACGUAUCCCGUAGUGGGGGAUAACCCGGCGAAAGCCGGGCUAAUACCGCAUAUGCUCUACGGAGGAAAGCGGGGGACCCGGCAGGCAACUGAGGGGCCUCGCGCUAUGGGAGCGGCCGAUGGCCGAUUAGCUAGUUGGCGGGGUAAAGGCCCACCAAGGCGACGAUCGGUAGCUGGUCUGAGAGGAUGAUCAGCCACACUGGGACUGAGACACGGCCCAGACUCCUACGGGAGGCAGCAGUGGGGAAUUUUGGACAAUGGGGGCAACCCUGAUCCAGCCAUGCCGCGUGCGGGAAGAAGGCCUUCGGGUUGUAAACCGCUUUUAGUCGGGAAGAAAGGGUUCUCUUGAAUAGGGGGGAUCUUUGACGGUACCGGCGGAAUAAGCACCGGCUAACUACGUGCCAGCAGCCGCGGUAAUCCCAAUCGCC
rnacentral:rRNA from 1 species